CGGCAGCGCGGGGUAACCUGGCGGCGAGUGGCGAACGGAGUGAGUAAUACAUCGGAACGUGCCCUGUGAUGGGGGAUAACUACGCGAAAGCGUAGCUAAUACCGCAUACGACCUACGGGUGAAAGUGGGGGAUCGCAAGACCUCACGUCAUAGGAGCGGCCGAUGGCGGAUUAGCUAGUUGGUGAGGUAAAGGCUUACCAAGGCAACGAUCCGUAGCUGGUCUGAGAGGACGACCAGCCACACUGGGACUGAGACACGGCCCAGACUCCUACGGGAGGCAGCAGUGGGGAAUCUUGGACAAUGGGGGCAACCCUGAUCCAGCAAUGCCGCGUGUGGGAUGAAGGCCUUCGGGUUGUAAACCACUUUUGGCGGGGGCGAAAUAUCGAGUGCUAAUACCAUUCGGUGAUGACGGUACCCGCAGAAUAAGCACCGGCUAACUACGUGCCAGCAGCGGGG
rnacentral:rRNA from 1 species